GCCAUUCUGUGCCGGCCGCCUGUGAGGCUGCUUCUGUCCUUAAAAGUAGGCGCCUCCAAGCUGAGGAGCUUCCCAAAGCUGCGGACUGGACAUGCUGAAGAUGAAGGUCCUCUGGACUUCCCUCCCCGGACAGGCUGAAACCGACCCUUAGGGUCCACCCUUGGAAUUUGGCCUUGUCGUAAUUAGCUCUUUCUGGGGACCAUGGAUCUGCAGUGGAGGGUGCCUGACUUCCCCCACAUGAGGACUGCCACAGCCAGAGGGCCGUCAGGUGACAUGCCCAGCUUUAAGCAGUCAUAGGAAUUCCCUGGUGGCCCAGAGGAAAAGACUCCACACUUCCAAUGCAGAGGGUGUGCAUUUGAUCCCUCGUAGGGGAACUAAAAUCCCACAAGCUGCAUGGCACAGCCAAAAAAAAAAAAUACAUGAC